AACCUAGGCUACAGGUGAUAGAAGGCCUUUUCCAACCAAAGAACAAACAGAUUUAAGCGAAAAAAAUAUAGCCCUACUCAAGAUGGAGUUAGUGUCAGGUUACCGUGACCGGAUGAUUGAGUUCUCGGAGGCUAUGGCACAGUGGUAUCGCUGCUUCCAGACCACCCGUAGGGGGCGCAAAGAACCACAUAGUGAUUUCUGGGGGUACGAUUUUCCCCGAUACCACAUGGACCGCUCACCGUACUGGAUACUGCACCUGCUGGAUUGCGCUGCAAAGCCACCUGCAGCUAUUCCACGGCUAGAACAGGCUGGAGUGGACCCCUCCGAGCUCAUAAGUAGUGAAGGAGAGAGUGUUCUGAUGGUGACGGAUGCCUCUGGCCUGCCCCUGGGCUUUGACGUGCUGGCCGGUGGCUG
ensembl:lncRNA